GAUGAACGCUGGCGGCGUGCCUAAUACAUGCAAGUUGAGCGAAGAAGUUUGGUGCUUGUUCCUACUAGAUUAGCAGCGGACGGGUGAGUAACGCGUGGGGAACCUGCCUUUGAGCGUGGGAUAACAUCUGGAAACGAAAGCUAAUACCGCAUAAUAUCUUUAAACACAUGGUUCAAGAUUGAAAGAUGCAAUUGCUUCACUCAAUGAAGAUCCCGCGGUGUAUUAGCUAGUUGGGGAGGUAAAGGCUUACCAAGGCGAUGAUACAUAGCCGACCUGAGAGGGGGAUCGGCCACAUUGGGACUGAGACACGGCCCAAACUCCUACGGGGGGCAGCAGUAGGGAAUCUUCGGCAAUGGACGAAAGUCUGACCGAGCAACGCCGCGUGAGUGAAGAAGGUUUUCGGAUCGUAAAACUCGGUUGGUAGAGAAGAACGUUGGUGAGAGUGGAAAGCUCAUCAAGUGACGGUAACUACCCAGAAAGGGACGGCUAACUACGUG
rnacentral:rRNA from 1 species